CGGGGUAUAGCGCAGAUGGAAGCGCGCGUGGUUCGGGACCAUGAGGUCGCAGGUUCAAUCCCUGUUACCCCGACCA
rnacentral:tRNA from 1 species